CCUACGGGAGGCAGCAGUGAGGAAUAUUGGUCAAUGGCCGGAAGGCUGAACCAGCCAUGCCGCGUUAAGGUCAGUGCCCUAUGGGCGUUAAACUUCUUUUGUGCGGGAGCAAUAAUGGUCACGUGUGGCCAGACUAGAGUACCGUACGAAUAAACAUCGGCUAACUCCGUGCCAGCCGCCGCGGUAAUACGGGGGAUGCACGCGUUAUCCGGAUUUAUUGGGUUUAAAGGGUGCGUAGGCUGUGAGUUAAGUCAGCGGUGAAAUGCCCCCGCUCAACGGGGUGAAGUGCCAUUGAUACUGGCUUGCUGGAAUGCGGAGGCCGGGGGAGGAAUGUGUGGUGUAGCGGUGAAAUGCAUAGAUAUCACACAGAACACCGAUUGCGAAGGCAUCUCACGAAUCCGCGAUUGACGCUGAUGCACGAAAGCGUGGGUAUCAAACAGGAUUAGAUACCCCUGUAGUC
rnacentral:rRNA from 1 species